AUCGAACGCUGGCGGCAGGCCUAACACAUGCAAGUCGAACGAGUGGCGGAUGGGAGAGUUAUGUUUGGGAAACUGCCUGAUGGAGGGGGAAAACUACUGGAAACGGUAGCUAAUACCGCAUAACAUCAGAUGUGCCCCGAUGGGAUUAGCUUGUUGGUGGGGUGACGGCUCACCAUGGCGACGAUCCCUAGCUGGUCUGAGAGGAUGACCAGCCACACUGGAACUGAGACACGGUCCAGACUCCUACGGGAGGCAGCAGUGGGGAAUAUUGCACAAUGGGCGCAAUCCUGAUGCAGCCAUGCCGCGUGUGUGAAGAAGGCCUUCGGGUUGUAAAGUACUUUCAGCGGGGAGGCGGUAGCCGAAGAAGAAGCGCCGGCUAACUCCGUGCCAGCAGCCGCGGUAAUAG
rnacentral:rRNA from 1 species